UACGUAGGGUGCAAGCGUUUGUCCGGGAAUUAUUGGGCGUAAAGAGCUCGUAGGUGGUUUGUCGCGUUGUUCGUGAAAACUCACAGCUCAACUGUGGGCGUGCGGGCGAUACGGGCAGACUAGAGUACUGCAGGGGAGACUGGAAUUCCUGGUGUAGCGGUGGAAUGCGCAGAUAUCAGGAGGAACACCGGUGGCGAAGGCGGGUCUCUGGGCCGUAACUGACGCUGGAGGAGCGAAAGCGUGGGGAGCGAACAGG
rnacentral:rRNA from 1 species